rnacentral:lncRNA from 1 species
GGAGGUCAGAGUGCUGCAAUCUGAGAACUCAACCUGGCUUUGAACACAGAAGAAGGAAACUUUGAACAAAGAAGAAGGAAUCCAGGAAUGUGAGCCGCCUCAGAAAGCCAAAAAAGGGCUUGCCCCAAGGGAGACCUCAGCUUGUAGAUGGAGGGAGGUCUUGCUAGCAGUUACCAGAAUAAGAGAAACUGCCAUGGUAAUUAACAACCUGCUGCUGUGGGAAUCCAAAUAGAGUCAGAGCAACGUGUUUACAAUGCUUGGAGACAUAAUAGUGAGAUCAUGUCCCUGGUAGCAGGAACCAGGCUUCACCCUUCAUUGCGUUUAAAGAGACCACGUAGAAAAGUGAUUAUGGCCAGCGACUCUGAAGCCAAACUGCCUGGGUUCAAAUCUCAGCUUUGCCAUUGACUUACUAGCUCUGUAACCUUGGACAAUCUACUUAGUUUCUCUGUGCUCCAGUUUCCCCAUGUGUAAAAUCUUUCACUAAAGUGAAGGAGGGCUAAUGAAGAUAAAAAAGUUGUUCCCCUCAUGAUGGCCAGGCAGGAGGAGGAAGA